rnacentral:rRNA from 1 species
CCUUCGGGCGCUGACGAGUGGCGAACGGUGAGUAAUGCAUCGGAACGUGCCCAGAGGUGGGGAUAACGCAGCGAAAGCUGUGCUAAUACCGCAUAUUUAUCUGAGGAUGAAAGCGGGGACUAAGCAGCAAUGUUUGGCCUCGCGCCUUUGGAGCGGCCGAUGUCAGAUUAGGUAGUUGGUGGGGUAAAGGCCUACCAAGCCGACGAUCUGUAGCUGGUCUGAGAGGACGACCAGCCACACUGGGACUGAGACACGGCCCAGACUCCUACGGGAGGCAGCAGUGGGGAAUUUUUGGACAAUGGGCGCAAGCCUGAUCCAGCAAUGCCGCGUGCAGGAAGAAGGCCUUCGGGUUGUAAACUGCUUUUGUACGGAACGAAAAGGCUCUGGUUAAUACCUGGGGCUCAUGACGGUACCGUAAGAAUAAGCACCGGCUAACUACGUG